AUGUGUGAUGCCCGUCCCACCCUGACGGUGCUGCCCCCCUCCACUGAGCAGCUGCAGCAGGGGAAGGCCACGCUCAUGUGCCUGGCCAACAAGGGCUUCCCCUCAGACUGGAGUCUGGCCUGGAAGGUGGACGGCAGCAGCAGCAGCAGCAGCAGCAGCAGCAUCAGCUGGGAGCAGAGCAGCAGCCCCGGGGUGCUGGAGAAGGACGGCCACUACAGCUGGAGCAGCACCCUGAGGCUCUCUGCAGACCAGUGGAGGAAGGUGGGCUCUGUGACCUGUGAGGCCACCCAGGGCUCCCAGACUCCGCUCUCAGAGACUCUGAGGAGAGACCAGUGUCCCCAGUCCUGAUCUGACUCACUGGUUUUACUCUGCUACUGCUCUCAGUCUGCACUCUUUCUCUGUUUCUCUCAUGAUGUUUCAACAUUAAUUUGUUCUUGCUUGUGUUGUUAGUUUUAACAUUUUCAAACAAUAAAGAAUUCCAUCAUAUCUUAUAAAAGUGACGGGUCUUUUGAAUUCCUUUCUUUCACAUGUGUUAUAUAUUAGGAGCAUGAAUCAGAUUAAUGCGCCAAAGUGACAAUCGUAAGAAGUACAUUUUUUCCUGAUUCGUUUUAAUUGUUUUAAGACUGUAGACAUGGUGCAGCUAUUUCAAUGGUAAAUCACAAAGCUGUAAUGGUGUGAGGCAUUGUACAGUUAGCAAUUGUUCUGCACUUUGUACCUCUCUCUUCGUUCUUGCUAGUGUUGAUGCUUUCAACAUUUUAAAGCAAUAAAGAUUUUAUGCAU